rnacentral:rRNA from 1 species
CCCUUAGAUGUUCUGGGCCGCACGCGCGCUACACUGAUGCAUUCAACGAGCCUAUCCUUGACCGACAGGUCCGGGUAAUCUUUGAAUCUGCAUCGUGACGGGGAUAGAUUAUUGCAAUUAUUAAUCUUCAACGAGGAAUUCCUAGUAAACGCAAGUCAACAGCUUGCAUUGAUUACGUCCCUGCCCUUUGUACACACCGCCCGUCGCUACUACCGAUUGAAUGGCUUAGUGAGCCCGAGGGACUGUUGCACCUAGAGGGUUUUCUCUCCAGGAGCAGCCGGGAACUCGGUCAAACUUGAUCAUUUAGAGGAAGUAAAAGUCGUAACA